GGAUUUAUUUGGAAAACUAUGAUUUUGAAAAUCAUUAAAAGGUGUUCGAAUCACCUAAAAUCCU
rnacentral:tRNA from 3 species